UUACAAAGUUUGCUCUAAUCAUGCCCAUUAUCCACACUAUUAGUAUCACGUAUUGUGGCUUCAGGGGUCCCACCAACAUGGACCUUCACUUUCUCCUUUCUCGAGUCUUCUUUGUCUUCUCGGAGCUACCAGCCAUGGAAAAGGCUGAGUCAGCUUGGAUCCACCAGACCUCUGACCACCACAUCUGAGGAUCACCCCCAACCUCCCCCUCGGUUUCCAACUUCCUGGUCUUUACCUGUGGGCACCUCGUGGCUGGGACGACGCUUGGUUUGGAUCCCCGUGUGCCUCGUCGAUCUCCCGGGCCGGUCAAUGGGAGCAGGGCCCUAAUAGCAGCUGCGUGAUGGAGGAUGCGAGCUCGUCGAACUCGCGGUACCUUUCCAGUUUGCGUCCAUGGGGGCGAUGAAGUAGUGGAUCUCGUUCCCCUUAGCUCCUGCGCGAUUUUGUGAAUCUUGGGGGUGUUGUCCGUCCCCAAGCGCCGAGCCAGAGGCGUCAAUGCUGUCCCCAAGCGAGGCACCCGACGCAUCGUCUUCAUCCUCAACAGCCGCAGCCCGGCUUCGGCAUUGCAUUCUUCCACCUGCAGGUCCAACAUCUGCAUCGAGCAGCAGUGUGUCGGUUUGAUGGGAGAAGUCGGUUUUCAGUCCCUCCUGGAGGCCAUGCAGUUUAUGGCGUAUGUCUGCGUCCAGGCCGGUGCUUUGUGGACAGACCUUCAAAAUUCAGGACAUCUUAGAGGAGAAAGGUAGGGUUCUCUGGAGGAAGUUUGGGUGCCUCGGAGUAGCAGGAAUUCCUGAGUAUAUCUUGAAGGAGGUCUUUCUUUCUGGUAAAGUAUCUUUUGUUUAUGUAGAUGUCCAUCUGUACUCUAAUCUAGUAGUAAUGAAAUAAUAGUUUCUUCUCGGAUGCAUGUUCUGCUUUCAUGUAAGAUGUAACAUCAGAUUGAAUUGUAAAGGAAAGAAAACAUGGCGCUUCAUCAA